AUUGAACGCUGGCGGCAUGCUUUACACAUGCAAGUCGAACGGCAGCACGGGCUUCGGCCUGGUGGCGAGUGGCGAACGGGUGAGUAAUAUAUCGGAACGUACCCAGCAGUGGGGGAUAACGUAGCGAAAGUAACGCUAAUACCGCAUACGAUAUAUGGAUGAAAGCCGGGGACCGCAAGGCCAUGUGCUCCUGGCUGGGACGAUAUCGGAUUAGCUAGUUGGUGAGGUAAAGGCUCACCAAGGCGACGAUCAGUAGCUGGUCUGAGAGGCCGACCAGCCACACUGGAACUGAGACACGGUCCAGACUCCUACGGGAGGCAGCAGUGGGGAAUUUUGGACAAUGGGCGCAAGCCUGAUCCAGCAAUGCCGCGUGAGUGAAGAAGGCCUUCGGGUUGUAAAGCUCUUUUGUCAGGGAAGAAACGGUAGAGGCUAAUAUCCUGUGCUAAUGACGGUACCUGAAGAAUAAGCACCGGCUAACUACGUG
rnacentral:rRNA from 1 species